UCAUCCCCUGGGUGGCCCUGAACUGCUGCUUGAUGAUCUCCUUUUCCCUGAUCACCCGCUCCCUCAUCAGCUGACUGUUCACAUCGUUGAUGGACAUGCGCAAAGCAGCCAUGUCGAACAGAAGCCAAAUGACAGAGGCGACAAACACAAAGGCGAGGACCCUCCCACUCCCCCUCAGCUCGGCGCAUCUCUGUCUGUGAAACACCUGUCACUUUUUACCUGGAGACUAUCCAAAGACUGGUUUGUCGUGCUGUGACGCUGUACCAUUGGCUCCAGUACCGAAAGGAGGGUCCGUGGACCUGGCAUCCGGAUCUGUACGGAGGUCUCACUGAGGAUCCUCCAUGAAUAUUCCAAGGCUCCUUGUUUGUCAGGAAGGCUGUCUCGCUUUCAUCUAUUCAGGCUUCUGAUAGACAACCCUGACACCUGCUCCCUGGGGACACCCUCCGCCAAGUCAGUCCACCGUUCCUUGAGAGACUUCCCUUUACUUUAUCAGCCCAUAAAGGAUUGUCACAGGUGGCGUUAAUGGAGCCAGUCCAACGUUCUGUAUCAGAGUGAUGAUCAUAAAGCGGCCAUUGGUGACUGAUAAUCCGAGCUGACACCCGCUGUCUUUGAAUCAGGUGAUUAGUGCUUGUUUUCUAGGAUGUUUUGGUGACAUGUCUGAAAUUUGGCUCUUCUCUCAGGUCACAGUUACCACCUCUAUGUAGAGCUUCACUCCAAAUGGGUGUUUCUAACGUGAGUUUGGCAAGUACAUCUGAAAAGGUUGUGACAACUUUGCACUUUUUGCACAUUUUUCUUAGACUUUCAGCUCAUGGGAUGAAACAGGCAAGUGUUGCAAAACAGAAGCAAAAUGAUGAAUGUGAUUUAUGAGGUUUAUUUUGUGCCUGAAUCAUUCUUUGUGUUUAAAGAAAAUAAAUAAGAUGUGAAAAGGUAUAAAAAAUGUCCCCAUCAACAAGCAGGGGUUUCUUGAACAACUAUUCUUUGUUUCCAGCUUGUUUUACCAGAAAAUCUAAUUACAAAGUGUGUGCAAAAACAAAAAAAGCUUAUGUUUUCUGAUCAUUUGAAGUAUUUUUAGUAAAGGUACAAUUUGAAAUGCAUUUUUGGGUAGAAGUGAUAAAUAACCACUAUAGAUUCCUAAAUUUCCUCAAUUUGGAGAAAUAGCAUUUUUGUUCUACAGGCUGGAAGAAAUUUUUCAUAUUUUAAAAUCAUUUUCUUGAGCCAGUAUGUGCUAAAAUGACCCUUUACGAGGUUAAUGAAAGGCCAGACAACCCCCUGUGGCCAGAAUAUUCCACAUGCAAAUUCAGACUGAUGGGUCGCUCUGUUGUGGCUUGAUUGAGCUGACGUACCUGGCACCACAGUCUGGUUUCAGCACGUUUUCUGCAUGUUUUAGAUCAUGAACACAGCUGAUUUGUUUAAUUUUGGUGAUGAAUUACUCCAGUAGACACUAAGGAAGGCUGGGGAGACAUUUCAGCUGCUAGAUCAAGGUGUUAAAAAGACAAACGCAGAGCGAGGAGAUCAGUUUUGCUUUCGGUUCUACAAAUGGACACUAGGGGGUGAUAAAGCAAGCCAAAACUGCCUAGUCUCCCUAUAAACAUUAUUCUAUAAAUUUUACAGAUAGUUUGUUUAUUGGGAAUACAUAUUAACACCCUGCUGGACUUGAAGUGCAUCAAUUUUUUUAUCACUUAUAAAUGUUACUGGGCUGGGGGCAUACAGUUUAAUGUAAGGGAGAUUUUUUUGCAAAUUGAUGGGGUGAAAGAUAACAUUAAACAGAUAUGACAUUUUUGCACCGAGUUCCUUGGUGUGCACAUUACAGAGGAUCUCUCCUGGACGAACAACACCAUAGCAUUGGCGAGGAAAUCACAUCAGCGUCUCUUCUUCCUCCGCAAACUAAGAAGAGCAAGAGCACCAGCCCCCAUCCUGUACACUUUCUACAGAGGCACCAUCGAGAGCAUCCUGUCGUGCGGCAUCACUGUGUGGUUCGGAGCCUGCAACCUAUCCUGCCUUAAAACCCUCCAACGUAUAGUGAGAGCAGCAGAGAAGGUCAUUGGGAUCUCUCUCCCCUCCCUACCAGACAUUUACAACACCCGCCUCACAAAAAAGGCCCUUCGCAUUGCGGCUGAUCCCACUCACCCAAUGCAAAGCCUCUUCGAGCUGCUGCCGUCAGGGAGGAGACUGCGGAGUCUCAAGGCCAGGACCAACAGACUGAAGGACAGCUUUAUCCAUCAGGCAGUUAGGAAGCUAAACUCCCUCCCGGCUCUCUCACCUCUCCUCUCUUUUCCCCCACAGUCUCUCUGAACUUGGUUACUGUUUUUAUACUAAAUGUUUAUUUUCUGUCUAGCGAGAGUUUGAGAGUAACGUAAUUUCAUUUCUCUGUAUGUCCUGUACAUGUGGCAGAAGUGACAAUUAAACUGACUUUGACUUGA